GAUGAACGCUGGCGGCGUGCCUAACACAUGCAAGUCGAGCGGCAGCGAGGGGUGCUUGCACCCUGUCGGCGAGCGGCGGACGGCUGAGUAACGCGUGGGAACGUGCCCCAAAGUGAGGAAUAACUGCCCGAAAGGGUAGCUAAUACCGCAUAUUAUCUUCGGAUCAAAGGAUUUAUCCGCUUUGGGAGCGGCUCGCGUCGGAUUAGGUGGUUGGUGAGGUAAUGGCUCACCAAGCCGACGAUCCGUAGCUGGUCUGAGAGGAUGACCAGCCAGACUGGAACUGAGACACGGGCCAGACUCCUACGGGAGGCAGCAGUGAGGAAUCUUCCACAAUGGGCGAAAGCCUGAUGGAGCAAGGCCGCGUGCAGGACGAAGGCGUUCGGGUUGUAAACUGCGUUUAUAAGUGAGGAAUAUGACGGUAACUUAUGAAUAAGGAUCGGCUAACUUCGUG
rnacentral:rRNA from 1 species